GAUGAACGCUGGCGGCGUGCCUAAUACAUGCAAGUCGAGCGAACAGACGAGGAGCUUGCUCCUCUGACGUUAGCGGCGGACGGGUGAGUAACACGUGGAUAACCUACCUAUAAGACUGGGAUAACUUCGGGAAACCGGAGCUAAUACCGGAUAAUAUAUUGAACCGCAUGGUUCAAUAGUGAAAGACGGUUUUGCUGUCACUUAUAGAUGGAUCCGCGCCGCAUUAGCUAGUUGGUAAGGUAACGGCUUACCAAGGCAACGAUGCGUAGCCGACCUGAGAGGGUGAUCGGCCACACUGGAACUGAGACACGGUCCAGACUCCUAAGGGAGGCAGCAGUAGGGAAUUUUCCGCAAUGGGCGAAAGCCUGACGGAGCAACGGCGCGGGAGUGAUGAAGGUCUUCGGAUCGGAAAACUCUGUUAUUAGGGAAGAACCAAUGUGUAAGUAACUAUGCACGUCUUGACGGUACCUAAUCAGAAAGCCACGGCUAACUACGUG
rnacentral:rRNA from 1 species